rnacentral:rRNA from 1 species
UACAGAGGGUGCAAGCGUUGUUCGGAAUUAUUGGGCGUAAAGCGCGUGUAGGCGGCUUUGCAAGUCGGGCGUGAAAGCCCUCGGCUCAACUGAGGAAGUGCGCCCGAAACUGCAGAGCUUGAGUGCCGGAGAGGGUGGCGGAAUUCCCCGUGUAGAGGUGAAAUUCGUAGAUAUGGGGAGGAACACCGGUGGCGAAGGCGGCGAGCUGGACGGUAACUGACGCUGAGACGCGAAAGCGUGGGGAGCAAACAGG